rnacentral:rRNA from 1 species
CGGCGGACGGGUGAGUAACGCGUGGGUAACCUGCCUCAUACAGGGGGAUAACAGUUAGAAAUGACUGCUAAUACCGCAUAAGACCACGGUACCGCAUGGUACAGUGGUAAAAACUCCGGUGGUAUGAGAUGGACCCGCGUCUGAUUAGGUAGUUGGUGGGGUAACGGCCUACCAAGCCGACGAUCAGUAGCCGACCUGAGAGGGUGACCGGCCACAUUGGGACCGAGACACGGCCCAG